rnacentral:lncRNA from 1 species
AUGUUUAGCAUUUUGCUGCUUUAUUGCUUCUUUCUGGGGACAGUUCCAGCACUUGCUGGGUGGAGAAAGGCAGCUGAGUCCGGAGAAGAGCAAAAUAUGGGGACCCAGGUUAAAAGCAGACAUCGUCCUUCCUACCCAGUAUUUCUAUAUUCAGACAGUGGAUACAUCAGGGAAUAGCUUCACAUCUUCUCCAGGCGAAAAAGUCUUCCAGGUGAAAGUCCCAGCACCAGAGGAGCAAUUCACUAGAGUUGGAGUCCAGGUUUUAGACUAAAAGGAUGGGUCCUUCAUGGUAAGAUACAGAAUGUGUGCAGGCUACAAAAAUCUGAAGAUGGGAGUUAAAUUCCAAGGUCAAGAUGUGGCCAAAUCCCCAUGUAUUUUAAAAGAGCCAGUGUGCCAUGAGAAUUGUGACUGGCCUUUGCAAGAUAGUGCAGCCUGGCUACGGGGGAUGAACUGCCCAACUGGAAACCAUUGCUCAGAUUCAGAGAGAUCUGGCACAUUUCCCUACUGUGGAUCCAGAAAAGAUUGCAGUAGAAAUCCCAAAAAGACUUGGACAGAGGCAGAGCCUGUGUCACUACACCUUAAAAGAUAACAAAGUUUAUAUCAAGUCUCAUGGUGAACAUGUAGGUUUUAGAAUUUUCAUGGAUGUCAUACUACUUUCUUUGACUAGAAAGGUGAAGAUGCCAGAUGUAGAGUUCUUUGUUAAUUUGGCAGACUGGCCUUUGCUUUGGAAAAAAAGAAAUCCAAUUCAAACAUCCAUCCGACCUUUUCCUGGUGUGGCUCCACAGAUUCCAAGGAUAUCGUGAUGCCUACCUACGACUUGACUGACUGUUUUAGAAACCAUGGGCUGGGUAAGUCUGGAUAUGAUGUCUGUGCAAGCUAACACGGGUCCUCCCUGGGAAAGCAAAAACUCCACAGCUGUCUUGAGAGGGCAAGACAGCCGCAAAGGAGACUUGAGCUGGUUAAACUCAGUAGAAACACCCUGAACUCAUAGACGCUGCUUUCACCAACUUUUUCUUCUUUAAACAUGAUGAAAACCUGUAUGGUCCCAUUGUGAAACACAUUUCAUUUUUUGAUUUCUUCAAGCAUAAGUAUCAAAUAAAUAUUGAUGGCAUCGUAGCAGCUUAUCACCUGCCAUAUUUACUAGUUAGUGACAGUGUUGUGCUGAAGCCAAGACUCCGUCUACUAUGAACAUUUUUACAAUGAGCUCUGCAGCCCUGGAAACACUACAUUCCAGUGAAGAGCAACCUGAGCGAUCUGCUAGAAAAACUUAAAUGGACAAAAGAUCACAAUGAAGAGGCCAAAAAGAUAGCAAAAGCAGGACAAGAAUUUGCAAGAAAUAAUCUCAUGGAUGAUGACAUAUUCUGUUAUUAUUUCAAACUUUUCCAGGAAUAUGCCAAUUUACAAGUGAGUGGGCCGCAAAUCUGAGAGGGCAUGAAAAGGGUAGAACCACAGACUGAGAAUGACCUCUUCCCUUGCACUUGCCAUAGGAAAAAGACCAAAGAUGAACUC